rnacentral:rRNA from 1 species
UACGAGGGGGGCAAGCGUUGUUCGGAAUUAUUGGGCGUAAAGGGCGCGUAGGCGGUGCGGUAAGUCACCUGUGAAAUCUCCUGGCUCAACUGGGAGCUUGCAGGCGAAACUGCAGAGCUUGAGUACCGGAGAGGAUGGCGGAAUUCCCCAAGUAGAGGUGAAAUUCGUAGAUAUGGGGAGGAACACCGGUGGCGAAGGCGGCCAUCUGGACGGAUACUGACGCUGAGACGCGAAAGCGUGGGGAGCAAACAGG